rnacentral:rRNA from 1 species
AGAGUUUGAUUAUGGCUCAGGACGAACGCUGGCGGCGUGCCUAACACAUGCAAGUCGUGCGGGGAUGUGUUGGAAGUUUACUUUCGGUGCAUCUUAGCGGCGGACGGGUGAGUAAUGCGUGAACAAUCUACCUGCAAGACCGGGAUAACACCGGGAAACUGGUGCUAAUACCGGAUAAUCUCCCUGGGCGGCAUCGUUUGGGGAGGAAAGUCGGCCUCUGGUUUUCAAGCUGGCGCUUGCAGAUGAGUUCGCGUCCCAUUAGCUUGUUGGCGGGGUAACGGCCCACCAAGGCGACGAUGGGUAGCCGGCCUGAGAGGGUGGACGGCCACAUUGGAACUGAGACACGGUCCAGACUCCUACGGGAGGCAGCAGCUAAGAAUCUUCCGCAAUGGGCGAAAGCCUGACGGAGCGACGCCGCGUGAACGAAGAAGGCCGUGAGGUUGUAAAGUUCUUUUCGGGAGGGGGAACAACCGUGGCAGGGAAUGGCCGCGGGAUGACGUGAAUCCCGGAAUAAGCCCCGGCUAACUACGUGCCAGCAGCCGCGGUAACACGUAGGGGGCGAGCGUUGUUCGGAAUCAUUGGGCGUAAAGGGCGUGCAGGCGGUCCUGCAAGUCCGGCGUGAAAGACCCCGGCCCAACCGGGGGGGCGCGCUGGAAACUGCAGGGCUUGAGUACAGGAGGGGAUGCCGGAAUUCCAGGUGUAGGGGUGAAAUCUGUAGAUAUCUGGAGGAACACCAAUGGCGAAGGCAGGCAUCUGGCCAUGUACUGACGCUGAGACGCGAAAGUGCGGGGAGCAAACAGGAUUAGAUACCCUGGUAGUC